ensembl:snRNA U6 U6 spliceosomal RNA
ACUCUCUAUUCUGAAGCACAUGUAGUAAAAUUGGAGUGAUACAUAAAAGAUUAGCAUGGCCCCUGUGCAAGAAUGAGAUGCAAUUUGUGAAGCAUUCCAUAGUUUU